rnacentral:hammerhead_ribozyme from 1 species
GCACUGCUGAGGAGUUCCACAAUAAGACGAAACGGCCGUUCAGUGC